UACGUAGGGGGCUAGCGUUGUCCGGAUUUAUUGGGCGUAAAGAGCGUGUAGGCGGCCAGAUAGGUCUGCUGUGAAAACUCGAGGCUCAACCUCGAGAUGUCGGCGGAAACCAUUUGGCUAGAGUCCGGAAGAGGAAAGUGGAAUUCCUGGUGUAGCGGUGAAAUGCGUAGAUAUCAGGAGGAACACCGGUGGCGAAGGCGGCUCUCUGGACGGUGACUGACGCUGAGACGCGAAAGCGUGGGGAGCAAACAGG
rnacentral:rRNA from 1 species